rnacentral:rRNA from 1 species
UACGUAGGUGUCGAGCGUUGUCCGGAUUUAUUGGGCGUAAAGCGCCCGCAGGCGGCUUGGCAAGUUUGAGGUGAAAUCUCCCGGCUCAACUGGGAGGGUGCCUCGAAAACUGCCGGCUUGAGUCAUGGAGAGGGAUGUGGAAUUCCAGGUGUAGUGGUGAAAUGCGUAGAUAUCGAGAGGAACACCUGCGGCGAAGGCGGGUUGCUGGGCUGACACUGACGCUGAGGCGCGAAAGCCAGGGGAGCGAACGGG